GGCCGGCUGGCGCAAUGGCUAGCGCGUCGACCUUCUAGACACACAUGUUUAGUUUCAGUCGAAGGUUGCGGGUUCGAGUCCCGCGUUGGCCU